rnacentral:rRNA from 1 species
CCUACGGGAGGCAGCAGUGGGGAAUAUUGGACAAUGGGCGGAAGCCUGAUCCAGCAACGCCGCGUGAGGGAUGACGGCCUUCGGGUUGUAAACCUCUUUCAGUACCGACGAAGCGAGAGUGACGGUAGGUACAGAAGAAGCACCGGCCAACUACGUGCCAGCAGCCGCGGUAAUACGUAGGGUGCGAGCGUUGUCCGGAAUUAUUGGGCGUAAAGGGCUCGUAGGCGGUUUGUCGCGUCGGGAGUGAAACACCGGGCUUAACUCGGUGCUUGCUUUCGAUACGGGCAGACUAGAGGUAUGCAGGGGAGAACGGAAUUCCUGGUGUAGCGGUGAAAUGCGCAGAUAUCAGGAGGAACACCGGUGGCGAAGGCGGUUCUCUGGGCAUUACCUGACGCUGAGGAGCGAAAGUGUGGGGAGCGAACAGGAUUAGAUACCCUGGUAGUCCACACCGUAAACGUUAGGGCGCUAGGUGUGGGAUCCAUUCCACGGGUUCCGUGCCGCAGCUAACGCAUUAAGCGCCCGCCUGGGGAGUACGGCCGCAAGGCUAAAACUCAAAUGAAUUGACGGCUGGUGAGUUGCGACGACGACGACGAGGAGGAGG